GCCAGAGUAGGGAAUAAAAAGUGCAGGUGGGAUAAAUUGGAAAAUUUACUAGAAUAUUAAAGAAAAAUAAGCAUAACAAAAAUAAUAUAGAAUAUAGGGGUGCUGAAAUAAAGAGAAUAGACAAUAUAACGUUAAAAAAAAUAAUCAAGGUAUAGAGAAAAAUAAUAAAAUAAGUUAUAGAAUAAAGAAAUGAAGCCGAGCACAUUCCUGUAUACCAGACCC
rnacentral:lncRNA from 1 species